ensembl:lncRNA
UUUUUUUUUUGGAUAUUGAACCCCAGAGAACUGCUCUGAAACUGGUAAAUGGUCUCAUUAUGUAACUUUGUGCUCCUGGUGACAAGCAUUUACAAACUCUCCUUUCACAAACAAUGUAAUUAAGUUAAAAAUUACAGCCCAGCACACCAAACUAAUGGGAAUCAAGGCAGGUCUCAUGGGUUCCUCCCUGUUCUCCUACAGAUCCCUUGGCAUCAGGCAGGAUGCAGCCCUGGAAGCAGCUCUCCAGCCACCCCCCAGCUUAUUUAGGGAUGGAGGCUGCCAUCCUCAGAGCUGCACAGAUGGAAAAAGGGAUGAAUUUGAGUUGUUGCAGUGUGCCAUGCUGAAGGCAUCCCUAAAAUGUACAAGGAAACAAGAUUCCUGGUGGGACCAACACUGCUGACCAGCAUUGUCAGGGAACCCCCCUGGGUUAGGACAUCAUAAGAAAAAACACCUGCAGCCUGGCACUGGGAGGAGAAACCUCUCUGAUGUAAAUGAACGUGCAAUAAAUGCAGGUUCCUGGUGAGUUGGCUCCAUCCAGGCCAGCCGUGAGGCUUCUGCCAGCUCAGGGACCUCACUUCCAUCAAGAACUGAAUAGAUUUUGGUCACUUUGAUACCCCAACCCCCUUCCUAAGGGUCAUUCAUAAUAGAAGAAAAUACUCUUAAGGGUGUGGUGAGGAUUCCUGAACCCCACGUCUUCCUUUUUCCAGGAUGGACUUCUUUCUCCUUCUUUCUCCUCUUGUAUUCAUAUCAAUUUAUGAUUUUACAGCUGAAGCUGCUCCAGCUCAGAGGUAGAAGGUAACAUUUUCCAGUAAUCACAGGCGGGUUGUGUGGCCAAACAUGGGCUGUGGUUUUCGAGGUGGAGCUCUCAGGAGAACAUUCCUGUGGCUCAGCCCCGGGGAUGGAUGUGCCCGUCCUGGGGAUGUGCCAGCCCCUGGGAUGUGCCAGCCCCUGGGAUGUGCCAGUCCUGGGGAUGUUCCAGCCCCUGGGACGUGCUGCCCGGCUGCCAGGCAGGAACACGCCCCGCAAGCCCGGCAGCCAGGAGUGAGAUAAGGACCGGAGGGGAAAUGGCACUGCCAAGACACACGGACUGCAGAGGAGGAGGAGGAAGGCAUCACAGGAGGAAGCAAGGACAGGAACGUGCCUGCAGGCAUGAAGCAUUGGUGGAUCCAGCACCCCAGACCUUCUCACGUGGAGCUUAGGGACAAAGGUGCUGGGAAAAAAACCCAAACAAAACCAACCAAACAAAAAACCACAAAAAAAACCCAACAAAACAAACAAACAAACAAACAAACAAAAAAACCCCCCAGUUUUUUACAGAGUGAUAAAGUUCUGGAAUGGCCUGCCCGGGGAGGUGGUGGAAUCACCAUCCCUAGAUGUGUUUAACAAAGCCUGGAUGUGGCACUGGGCGCCAGGGUUUAGUUGAGGCGUUGAGGCUGGGUUGAACUUGAUGAUCCUGAAGGUCUGUUCCAACCCAGUAAUUCUGUGAAUUCUGUGAAUUCUGUGAAUUCUUUCAGCAGGCCCAGAACACCCACUGGCUACAAAAGGUGUGAUGAGAAAGCUGUACUUUAAGUACCCCAAAGAAUGAUUUUUGUUUUUCCCCCUAAAUUAUCCCUGCUGUACAUCAUAGCAGAUUUUUGCCCUUUUUUCCAGAGGACAAUAACCCACAGCCUCCACAGUGUCGAUGUGACAGCUGCAUUUCUGUACACACUGACGUCAUCUUUUUGUCCUCCUUUGGUAAACACACCAUAAAGCUUUUCCUGUGCUCACCGAGACCUCACCUUCUUAUUGUCAGUGCUAAUAAUAUUUCUUGCCCUGCCAGAGACCAAGAAGCCUCCAGAAAAUGUUCAAGUGGCAGAAAAAUAAAUGCUGAGUGACCAUAGAGAAAAAUAUAAUUUCUUCUUUCUCACACAGAAAUAAUUUCAGAAGGAAGGAAUUGUUCAGGCAAAUUGAAGAUCAUGUAGCCAAGAGUGAGUUUGCCCCGAGGCUGAUGAGGACUCUAGGUUCUCUCUGGCUCUCUGCCUGGUGUGGUGGGGAACAAUGAAUGGGAGACAUCUCCUCCAGUUCCUAACACAGCUCACCCAAAAUGCCUUGGCUUGAGCUCUGGGGACCAGAGAUCAUGGGCAAGAUCACACUGCAUCCCCUGCAUCCCCUUGUGCUCCCCAAAUGUGGAACAUUAGCCUAGACACAGACAUGUAGUGUUUCCUGUCUGCCAUGGACCCUGUCUCGUGUGGGUCUUGGGGAAGAGAGAAAAUUGGAAUAAUUUCUCCCUCUGCAUAUCAUGAGAGCUGGAUGUGAUUUCAGAGUUGUUUAAACUUCUCUGAUGUGAAAUGCCAAUGUCAUUGAAAAUCUCUUCCUAUGAACUCCGUGGGUUUCUGUUGGCUGGUGUCUGAAGCCAUUCUUCACCCAGUGUGUGAUCCCUGCUGCAGCUGGCAGGCUGUAUCAGAUACAAGGUUUUAGAAAAGGUGUUAUCACAUCCUGUACUCCCACUGAAAUUAGAGCAUGUGAAUGGGAAGCUUUUAUUUCAUCUCUAAACCAGGUACAUGAUUUGACACACUUUUCCUAUUCUCUGUGAUUUUAAGAAGAAAGAAAACCAAAACAUUUGAUCAACUGCAGCCAGAUAUCCAACAGACUAAAGCUGAAAGGAUCAUCAAAUACAUGAUCCAAUGUGGCCCAUCUCAAGCAUCCCAAAACUAUGAGUUGAAAUAAAAUGAGUUGGUACUACUGCUCUACAGAGCAGAGACAUGAGAUGUAUCCCCAUACUCUUGUUUUCAGCUUUCAAGUGGCCACCCCUUUCUUAGCAGGUUUCUGUGGCUUUCCAGCCGGGCUACCUGAAGACAUGAACAAACUGUCAAUCUCCUGCACUUUCUGGAGGCUUUCUCGUCUAGGGAGACGAAGCUCUGCAAAGUGCAGCUCUGCAAAGAGCAGCUCUGCAGGCAGUGAGGAGAUUUCUGUUCCUCCAGUGAGACAGGCUGGGGACAGAACUGACAUUCCAGCCACCAGACCCACAUGCUCGCUUCUGGAUUUCUGGACCAAAUCGCCACGUACCUCCGUACCGUGUCCCCGGCUACCCGGCCGAUGCCCGUCCCGGUUCCGCAGGGCUCACCCAUCCCCCGGGAUCCGGC